AAUAAGAGGUCCCGCCUGCCCAGUGACUAUAUGUUCAACGGCCGCGGUAUUUUGACCGUGCGAAGGUAGCGCAAUCACUUGUCUUUUAAAUGAAGACCUGUAUGAAUGGCACGACGAGGGCUUGACUGUCUCCUUUUUCCAGUCAGUGAAAUUGAUCCCCCCGUGCAGAAGCGGGGAUUUAAACAUAAGACGAGAAGACCCUAUGGAGCUUUAGACUCUCGAGCAGACUAUGUUAAACACUCUUUAACAAAAGACUAAACAGUAUAGGCCCUACUCUAAUGUCUUUGGUUGGGGCGACCCUGGGGAAAAACAAAACCCCCAUGAAGACAGGAAGAACUUUCUCCCACAAACAAGAGCUACAGCUCUAGUUAACAGAACCUCUGACUUACAUGAUCCGGCCUACGCCGAUCAACGGACCGAGUUACCCUAGGGAUAACAGCGCAAUCCUCUUUUAGAGCUCAUAUCGACAAGGGGGUUUACGACCUCGAUGUUGGAUCAGGACAUCCUAAUGGUGCAGCCGCUAUUAAGGGUUCGUUUGUUCAACGAUUAACAGUCCU
rnacentral:rRNA from 1 species